rnacentral:rRNA from 1 species
GACGAAGGGGGCUAGCGUUGUUCGGAAUUACUGGGCGUAAAGCGCACGUAGGCGGACUAUUAAGUCAGGGGUGAAAUCCCGGGGCUCAACCCCGGAACUGCCUUUGAUACUGGUAGUCUCGAGUCCGGAAGAGGUGAGUGGAAUUCCGAGUGUAGAGGUGAAAUUCGUAGAUAUUCGGAGGAACACCAGUGGCGAAGGCGGCUCACUGGUCCGGUACUGACGCUGAGGUGCGAAAGCGUGGGGAGCAAACAGG